CAAGUCGAACGCACCCUUCGGGGUGAGUGGCGCACGGCUGAGUAACACGUGGGAAUCUGUCGUCCAGUGGGGGAUAACGCAUCGAAAGAUACGCUAAUCCCGCAUACGGUCCGAAAGGAAGAAAGGCGCAAGUCGCUGGAUGAGGAGCCUGCGGCCCAUCAGGUAGUUGGAGAGGUAACGGCUCACCAAGCCAAUGACGGGUAGCUGGUCUGUGAGGACAACCAGCCAGACUGGGACUGAGAACGGCCCAGACUCCUACGGGAGGCAGCAGUAAGGAAUUUUCGUCAAUGGGGGAAACCCUGAACGAGCAACGCCGCGUGGAGGAUGACGGUUUUCGGAUUGUAAACUCCUUUUGUAUGGGACGAUAAUGACGGUACCAUACGAAUAAGCCCCGGCUAACUCUGUGCCAGCAGCCGCGGUAAUACAGAGGGGGCAAGCGUUGUCCGGAGUUACUGGGCGUAAAGCGCACGCAGGCGGUUGUGCAAGUGGGAUGUGAAACCACCGUGCUUAACACGGUGACGCCAUGCCAAACUGCACGACUCGAGUGGUGGAGAGGUUGUUCGAAUUGCCGGUGUAGUGGUGAAAUGCGUAGAGAUCGGCAGGAAGACCAAGGGCGAAAGCAGACAACUGGCCACCAACUGGCGCUCAGGUGCGAAAGCGUGGGGAGCGAACUGGAUUAGAUACCCAGGUAGUCCACGCUGUAAACGAUGUAUGCUCGGUAUUUGUGCUGUUACGGCAUGGGUACCUCAGAAACCCGGUAAGCAUACCGCCUGGGAAGUACGAACGCAAGUUUAAAACUCAAAGGAAUUGACGGG
rnacentral:rRNA from 1 species